AAAUGCAUGAAUUCAUCCUGCAAGUGUUUCACAUGACGGAUACAGUUUCAUCUGUGGAUACAGUGCCAGCUGUGGAUACAGUUAUAGCUGUGGAUACGGUUAUAGCUGUGGAUACAGUUGCAAAUGCAAAUACUGUUAUAGCUGUAGAUACUGUGCCAGGUCUACAUCUACCUGCAGUUCCAAGUCCACCUCCAGCUGCAGUUGAGGUUCCAGCUCCAGCUGCAGAAGAAGAUAUAACUCCUUCUAUAUCUACAGUAUCUGAUGUACCCACAUAUCUUCCAGCUGGGAAGGUGCUGACAAUUUACAUGUUGCACUGGUAGAUGACCAGAUCCAGAUGCCGCUUGAUUACAUGUUGCCUCUGGUUGAGAAAAUCCACCCGAAUCUGGCCAAUAAGAUCACCUGGAUGCUUUUAGAGGGUGAGAACAACUGCAAGAUCAUGAACAUGAUUGGAGAUCCUGAGCUCCUGAGGUGGAUAUAAUGGACACUCUCUUGAAGGCAAAAGAAGCUAGUCACAAGCCGGAAACUUUGAAGAUGUUUUACAACAACGUCAACAAUAAGAAGAAGAAGAGGAGAAAGAAGAAACAAACAUUCCAUCCAACAAUUCCAACCAUAAUAUAUUGGUCUGAACCUCUACGUGAAGAACCUGGAUGAUAGUGUGGAUGAGGAGUGUCUGCAUACUGUGUACUCGCAAUUUGGAAACAUCGUGAAUGCAAAGGUCGCUUACAACUAAUAAUCCCUACAUUUUAUUCCUUUCCCAAUAACCGGUCCACUUCCACUUACUUACUCUGAAGCGUGUAUCUAGU
ensembl:lncRNA